rnacentral:lncRNA from 1 species
AACACCACCGAUGCUCACAAACCCCGCGACCCGUCAACCAUCUUGACUCAAGGACCCCCCCCCCCCCACGCCCACCCCGAAUGCGGAGGGACCGGCGGGCUGGAAUCCACGACCGGCGAGUCUGCCCUCGCCUGCACACUGCAGCCUCAGCCUGGAGAGCCCCGGCACGCACCCCCCGCCCCCGCCCCGUCGCGGGUCUUUUACCUUGUGGCCUUUCCCUGGGGGACACCUGACGUUGUUGGAGGCUCCCGCUGUUUGAUUCAUGUCCGGAGGAAGUUGGGGGGCCCGAUUCUCGGCCUUCAAAACUUCCUUCGCGCGUGGAGGGUGGCAAGGUGCGCUUCUCGGGGAGGCCAGGUGGGUCCUCCCUCUCCAGCCACGACCGGGCGAGCGGAAGCCGGUUCCUCACGCCGCAGGUUUCAGCGGGGCUCCUCGCCCAGGGAUGACAGCCCGCAGCCCGGUGCUGAGGAAGGAGAAGCAGCGGCUGGGACCCCGGAGGGAGCCCGGGCGGCAGCAGCGGCUUCCAGGGCGCUCUGCCCAGCGCUGCCUUCCUGGGAAACAGUCCAGACUCUCAGGACCAGAAGCCCGAGCAAAUCGGAAAGGAGCUCCGAGGAGGGGCCAAGGAGGUAUGUGUAUGAGGGGGUUGCGGGUGUAGGACUAGUCUCUUCCCCGAGCAAGGGGUGGGGACACCGCAGAAGCUCCGGAGCCCCGCGCCCUAACGCCCCCCGGGCGGAGCCACGGCUGCAAGACACCCACGGGUUCGCUCUCCACUCCCGCAUGGACCUUUCCACAGCCCUCCACACCCUCAAAGGCUCAGGCUGGAGCCGUCAUCAGCGCAGAGCAGGCACCCCUCUCGCCUUGCAGCGGGUAAUUAGGAAGGGCAACUCGGAGGGGCGGGCCCCUGCGCUCGCUGGCAGCUCCUGCGCCCGGCUCCGGGCGCGAAAUCUUCCCGGGAUGGUCGGGAGGUGGCACGCGAGGCUCUGCCAGGCGCCACUGCACAGGGAAGGCGAGGACGUGGAGGGGGCGGAGGAGGAGCUGGACGGUCCCUGUCUCCUUGGCAGAGUCCCCUCCAGCCACAGCUGA